rnacentral:rRNA from 1 species
GGGGUAACCUGCGGAAGGAUCAUUA